AAACCAACAGGGAUUGCCUUAGUAACGGCGAGUGAAGCGGCAAAAGCUCAAAUUUGAAAUCUAGCACUUUCAGUGUUCGAGUUGUAAUUUGAAGAAGGUAACUUUGGAAUUGGCUCUUGUCUAUGUUCCUUGGAACAGGACGUCACAGAGGGUGAGAAUCCCGUGCGAUGAGAUGUCCAAUUCUAUGUAAAGUGCUUUCGAAGAGUCGAGUUGUUUGGGAAUGCAGCUCUAAGUGGGUGGUAAAUUCCAUCUAAAGCUAAAUAUUGGCGAGAGACCGAUAGCGAACAAGUACAGUGAUGGAAAGAUGAAAAGAACUUUGAAAAGAGAGUGAAAAAGUACGUGAAAUUGUUGAAAGGGAAGGGCUUGAGAUCAGACUUGGUAUUUUGUGUUCCUUAUUCUUUUUGGAUUUGGUUCCUCACAGCUUACCGGGGCCAGCAUCGGUUUGGAUGGUAGGAUAAUGACAUUGGAAUGUAGCUUUGCUUCGGGUGAAGUGUUAUAGACUUUGUUGAUACUGCCUAUCUAGACCGAGGACUGCGUCUUUGACUAGGAUGCUGGCGUAAUGAUCUUAAGCCGC
rnacentral:rRNA from 1 species